GCCCGGGUGGCUCAGUUAGUAAAGCCUCUGACUUCUGCUCAGGUCGUGAUCUCGUGGUUCAUGGGUUCAAGCCCCGGGUUCGUGGGUUCGAGCCCCACAUCAGGCU
rnacentral:tRNA from 1 species